UACGUAGGGGGCAAGCGUUGUCCGGAAUCAUUGGGCGUAAAGAGCGUGUAGGCGGCCCGGUAAGUCCGCUGUGAAAGCCCCCGGCCUAACCGGGGAACUGCCAUUGAUACUGAUGGUCUUGAGUACAUUUGAGGUGGGCGGAAUGUGUCAUGUAGCGGUGAAAUGCUUAGAUAUGACACAGAACACCGAUUGCGAAGGCAGCUCACUAAACUGUAACUGACGCUGAGGCACGAAAGCGUGGGGAGCAAACAGG
rnacentral:rRNA from 1 species